rnacentral:rRNA from 1 species
GAUUGACCUCGGAUUAGGUAGGGAUACCCGCUGAACUUAAGCAUAUCAAU